GACGAACGCUGGCGGCGUGCUUAAUACAUGCAAGUAGAACGAAGUUGCGAACGGGUGAGUAACGCGUAGGUAACUGCCUGGUAGCGGGGGGUAACAAUUGGAGAUGAGAGCUAAUACCGCAUAAUACCAGAGGGACCUGCGUGGUAUUAGUUUGUGGGUGGGUUGACGGCUCACAAAGGGAACGAUACAUAGCCGACCUGAGAGGGUGAUCUGCGACACGGGGACUGAGACACGGCCCAGACUCCUCCGGGAGGCAGCAGUAGGGAAGCUGCGACAAUGGACGAAAGUCUGACCGAGCAACGCCGCGUGAGUGAAGAAGGUUUUCGGGUUGUAAAGCUCUGUUGUAAGAGAAGCGGUAUCUUACCAGAAAGGGACGGCAAAUCACGUGCCAGCGGCCGCGGAAAUC
rnacentral:rRNA from 1 species